GCUGACUGCCUCGAGAUACUCAGUACCAGGAACAGCUCUGUGUUGAGUUUACCCCCUCCUUGCCAUCCUCUCCCCUCUCGAGAGCCAGGUAGCACCACUUCUUUCUGGAAGGGGAAGGUGGAACAGUUUGCACAGGCUGCAGAGGAAACGCACCAGAGAGCCCACAGCUGGCAAACGGUAAUGAGCCCUGCGCUAGUGCCUUCAGGUUCUUUUUCCGGCGCUGUGUCACCGAGUUCCGUGCCCAGCGAGGUCAGCCACAUCCUGAGGGAAGUGCAUGGUUUCUUUGUCUGGAAAAGAAGCAACGUCUCCAAGUUUCCCCCUGCUGAGCACAUAUCCAAUACCCUCUCCUCUCCUCAGCCCCAAAGAAGUGAUGGAAUAUGUAGAUGCUGAUGAUGCAGGCCGGGAGCCUGGCACCUGUUUUCCUUUCACAGCAGAAAAAGCUGUUAGUGCUAGAUCAGAGAAAAACAGCCCUGGAAUUGGAGAAAAGCAUCCUCUUAUUUGUAGAUGAAGACAAGGCAUCAAGAGGCUGGGGCCAAAUUGCACAGCGGCUAUCUGAAGAAAAGCCAUUCAACCUCCAUCAUCAGCCAAGAGGGUUGAGACAGCUUGGUUGUGAAGAUCUGGGCAUUCCUGAAGUUUAGUGGAGCAGGCAAUAAAGGAUCCUAAAGUGGAAGGGACCUUGGAGGUGGUCCAGUUAAAAAGGCCACGCCUGUGCAUGACUCUCCCUGGAACAUCACUACCAGAUGCUCAGCAAUCCUUUGUGUGACCAUCUGAUGACAGUUCAGUCUCUCUCCCUUUUGAAAAACUUCCCAAGUAUUUGAAAAUAUUACUGUCAGUAUUCUCCAAAAUAUCCUCACCUCCAUAAUUUGGCUACGUGUGUGAGAUAUAUUUGGAAUUGAAACCAGUAAGGAACUGGAUGCAAGAG
ensembl:lncRNA